rnacentral:rRNA from 1 species
UGGGGAAUCUUGGGCAAUGGGCGAAAGCCUGACCCAGCGACGCCGCGUUGAGGAAGGAGCCCUUCGGGGUGUAAACCCAUGUUGUAGGGGACGAAGAAAGUGACGGUACCCUACGAGGAAGCCCCGGCUAACUACGUGCCAGCAGCCGCGGUAAGACGUAGGGGGCAAGCGUUGUCCGGAAUUACUGGGCGUAAAGGGCACGCAGGCGGUGCGCCAAGUCGAGGGUGUAAAGUUACGGCUCAACCGUGACAUUGCAAUCGAUACUGGCGCGCUGGAGUGCGGGAGAGGGAAGUGGAAUUCCCGGUGUAGCGGUGAAAUGCGUAGAUAUCGGGAGGAACGCCAGUGGCGAAGGCGGCUUCCUGGCCCGCGACUGACGCUCAUGUGCGAAAGCCAGGGGAGCGAACCGGAU